UGAAAAUUUAACAAAGGGCUCAUGGGUUGAGAUAAGGACCUGGAGAGUUCAUUCACCAAAUACUGUCAUGGGCAAAACAGGCUCAGUUUAGAGAUAUGAACUGAAUUUAUUACUAUCAAAAUAAGAGUGGGAUAGUGAAAAGUAAAGUAAGACCCUUAAAAACACCUUUCCCCCAACCCUCCCUGCUUCCCAACUCUAUCUCCUCCCAACGACAGCACAGGGAGAAAUGGGAGUUAUGGUCAGUCCAUCACAUGUUUCUGCUGCUGCCUAGGAAAGGAGUCUUUCCCCUGCUCCAUCCUGGGGACUCUCCAAGUUACCUCUCAAUUGCUUUUGAAAAGUCAGAUGCAUGCAGAUAUAAAAUAACUGGAUUGAAAGACAAAAACCCAAGUGCUGCUACUUGGCCACAUCAUUGUGUCCUAAAGGGAGCCUGGGGCUCCAGACAAGGGUCUCCAAACUUUUUUGUCUGGGUCUGAUAUCUCAGUGAACUCUCCAUCAAAACAAGACCCUGAACAAGACUGAGGCCUUGCUUCACUUGCUGGCUGCACUAAUUGAAUAGCAUGUGGUGGUUUUGGCUGCAAGAAAAGAGAUGUGGAUAUCUUUGAUUGGGGGGUAUUUCUGUAAAUCUCAUUCUCCAUUUCCCUAAAGACUAUGGGAGUUUUCACUGUUCCAAUAAAAUAAGGGCUGCUUGAGCUUUAGUAGACUACAGUUCUUCUUGAGGGUAACACUAAGGCCUUCCCUCAAUAUUUGAUAUUCCAAAUUAUUAGUAUUUUGCAUUUCUUCUUAAAGUGGAAGUGCUGGCUCUCAAUGCAUGGACCUUGAAUGAUUCUUUUCAGAAUUAUUCUUCAAAUAGUACCAGGGAAGUUUAGAUUGGAUAACAGGAAAAAUUUCUUCACAGAAAUGGUUGUCAAGCCUUGGAGCAGGCUGCUGUGGCUGAGUCACUAGCCCUGGAGGUAUUCAUAAGACGUGUAGAUGUGGCAAUUAGGCAUGUGAUUUGGUGGUGGAAUUGGCAACAUUAGGUUUACAGUUGGACUUAAGGGUUUUUUUUUCUUAGCCUACAUGAUUCUGUGAUUCAAAUUGCUUGACCAUAACAUUAAGAUCAAGCAACUCUAGGUGUAAUUGGCUGCUUUUCUGACAUGGCUUGCCACUUCAACAGUUUGUGUGAUUAUGGAAGAAUUGCUGCUAAGGCCAAGUUAAUCCUCAAGAAUGGGUGUCAUGCCAUUGGGGCAGCUGGCUAUAAUGCCUUUGUAGUCACUAGUAGAAAAAAAAAAACAGCUGAAAAAUGGGAUUUGUCUGAUCUUUACAGGCGCACUUACCUUGGAUGAAAUAAUCAAUUCCUUAGAAACACUUAUAUUUUUUCUUUGGCUGUUAAAGAAAUUUAAGUGACUGUCCAAAAUUGCAACCAAUUAUAUCUACAUUGUAGGUGUAAAACAGUUUGACGCAAUUGCAGAAAUAGUGCUUACCUGGAAUGACUGUCUGAUUAAAAUUCAUUAGGAAAAUUGUUAGUUAUCAAAAAUAUGCAUAGAUAUAUCUGUAUGAUUAGCCUGACCUCUUUGUUACCAUGUUAAUAGUCCUAGUAAAUUGUUUCUAUAUACAAAGCCAUUAGCAUAAAGUUAGUAAUUGCUACCUAUCAGCAUGCUUUAAGACUUAAGCACUAGCAUUUAGAAAAAAGUUGUAUUUUUGCCUUUUCUGUUCCUCUGAAGUUUCCUGUGAUGGUCCUGUUUUUCAUGUGCACUUACAAUUCUAUAAUGAAAACUCAUUCAAAGGUUGUAUAAUGUUCUUUUUGCUUCCUUUUGAUGGCAUUGUUAAAAUAGUUUUAAAGCAAGAAAGCAAGAGACAAUAAAUAGUUUUAUAUUAUUACUAGUUUCUGCAUAAAAUUGACAAUUAAAGCAUUUACUUCUUUGGUUAGGUUUUUUUUUGUUGUUUGUUUGGGGUUUUUUUGGUUGUUGUUUUUGUUUUUGUGUUUUUUGUUUUGUUUGUUUUUGUUUGUUUUUUUUUUAAUCCAGCGUUCAGAUUUUAUAUGUAGUUUAGGAGUAUUGAAUAUGUCUCUGAAGGUGUGUUGUAUUUUCUUUGGCUCACUUCAUUCUUGCUUCUCCCAUAUGAAUUCAAUUGUGAAGAAUAAGCCUGUGCAGCGUUCAUA